GAUGAAGAACGUAGCGAAAUGCGAUACUUGGUGUGAAUUGCAGAAUCCCGUGAACCAUCGAGUCUUUGAACGCAAGUUGCGCCUCAAGCCAUUAGGUUGAGGGCACGUCUGCCUGGGCGUCACAUAUCGUUGCCUGAUGCCAGUUUCCUCGUGAUGGGUGACUGUGCAGGGCGAAUGAUGGCUUCCCGUGAGCAUUGUUGCCUCAUGGUUGGUUGAAAAUUGAGUCCUUGGUAGGGAGCGCCGUGAUAGAUGGUGGUUGAGUGACGAACGAGACCCAAUCAUGUGAGACCCCUACCGAAUUUGGCCUUCAUGACCCACAUGCGUCUUUGGAACGCUCAUGACGAGACCUCAGGUCAGUCAGGACUACCCGCUGAACUUAAGCAUAUCAAUAAGCGGAGGA
rnacentral:misc_RNA from 1 species